rnacentral:misc_RNA from 1 species
GAUGAAGAACGCAGCGAAAUGCGAUAAGUAGUGUGAAUUGCAGACUUUAGUGAAUCAUCGAAUCUUUGAACGCACAUUGCGCCCCUUGGUAUUCCAUUGGGCAUGCCUGUUCGAGCGUCAUUUAAACCUUCAAGCCUAGCUUGGUGUUGGGCGCCUGUCCCGCCGUUUUCGCGCGCGGACUCGCCUCAAAGUCAUUGGCGGCGGUCGUGCCGGCCCCCUCGCGCAGCACAUUUGCGCUUCUCGGAGGCCCGGCGGAUCCGCGCUCCAGCAAGACCUUUCACGACUUGACCUCGGAUCAGGUAGGGAUACCCGCUGAACUUAAGCAUAUCAAUAAGCGGAGGA